rfam:Puccinia sorghi strain RO10H11247 Scaffold_3455, whole genome shotgun sequence.
GGACAUAUGGCCGAGUGGUCUAAGGCGCUAGCUUCAGGAUUAGCCGUGGUCAGCCUUAUCUGAUCAUCGCUGAAUGCCGGACCCGCUAGUCUUCGGGCGUGGGUUCGAAUCCCACUGUGUUCA